GGUGUGGCCGAUUGAGGUAAAUGUUUGCCUCCUCUUUCCACCAUACAACAACCAAACGAGGUAUAACUCCUCAUUUUUUUUUGUUUUUUUACUUUUUCUGCAAAUAGGGAUUUGUCUUAUUUUGUUUUUGAAUAGUUGAUUCUCAUUGGUUUGCUCAGUCCCACACCGAAUUUCAACAACAAAACUAGGGUUUUGGGGUUCUAUAUAAAGAACCCCACCCUUCUCAUUUAAAAAAGGUCUAAACAAAUUACACACACACAAGUCUCGAUUUAGAGAAUAAAAAACACUCAAUUUACCUAGGGAUUUAGCAUUUGCCAAAACCUUUAAUUAAUUGAGUUUUAAUAGUCUAUUUUUGUUUGGUUUCUUUGUUUAUGGCUGUGUUUCGGGUGUUGAUGAGUGCAAGGGUCUCCAAUUUCAACUCUCAACAAGGGCUGCACAUAAGAAAGGCCAAAUGUGCAUACCUCCUUGCCCAAAAUCUUUUUUUCCUCGAGUUCGGAUCCAGCAUUGAAGGCCCAAUCAUAGGUGAAAAUGAUUAACAGGUUCAGGUAGACAGACGGACGGUCCAGCUCAGUAAGACAUCCAUCUAGCGGUGGUCAGUGCGCUCCACUUGGUCCGGAGCUGCGGUUUAUUUUUGUAUUCCAUUCUUUUGAGAUGUAUAUGCAUAUGGGUAUGACGGGGCCCUGUCCCGUCCUAUCUACAGCUUUUAUUCUAUUAGAGGUCUGUAGACAGUUAUGUGUAGAUAACUUGUGAGGUAGCCUUGUCGGCUCCCAUUCUUUUAUGUACAGUCCAUGUGGCAGCCUAGUUGGCUUGCAUUGUUAUCCUCAAUAUAUAUAUAUAUAUAGA